GAUGAACGCUGGCGGCGUGCCUAAUACAUGCAAGUCGAGCGAACAGACGAGGAGCUUGCUCCUCUGACGUUAGCGGCGGACGGGUGAGUAACACGUGGAUAACCUACCUAUAAGACUGGGAUAACUUCGGGAAACCGGAGCUAAUACCGGAUAAUAUAUUGAACCGCAUGGUUCAAUAGUGAAAGACGGUUUUGCUGUCACUUAUAGAUGGAUCCGCGCCGCAUUAGCUAGUUGGUAAGGUAACGGCUUACCAAGGCAACGAUGCGUAGCCGACCUGAGAGGGUGAUCGGCCACACUGGAACUGAGACACGUCCAGACUCCUACGGGAGGCAGCAGUAGGGAAUCUUCCGCAAAGGGCGAAAGCCUGACGGAGCAACGCCGCGUGAGUGAUGAAGGUCUUCGGAUCGUAAAACUCUGUUAUUAGGGAAGAACAAAUGUGUAAGUAACUAUGCACGUCUUGACGGUACCUAAUCAGAAAGCCACGGCUAACUACGUG
rnacentral:rRNA from 1 species